rnacentral:lncRNA from 1 species
ACAGAGCCCAGAAGAGGGGACACACACACACACACAUCAAAAGGUGUCGUGUGUGUGCAUGCACAACACAGCCAAGUAUUCAUUAAAAACAUUUUAGCUAUAAAAGUUACACUCUUCAGCAUGAAGAUUUAAAUUUUUGAAAGACCAUAUAAAAAGGGAAAGAAAAGAGUGUAUUUUAGAAAGCAGACUUAAAUUAGAAGUAAAUAAUGACUAAUUAGCACAUAGCUUUUGCAUAUUUCACCUCUUCCUAUAUAUUUCUUAAAAUUUGGAUCUUACUGCAGAAACAUUUUUAAAAUCCUCCUCAUUUAACAAAAUACUGUGAAUGUUUUCCCUGUGGUUAAAUACCCGUCUGCGGCGCUGGGUCUAAUGACUCAUUGCGUUGUGCCCACGCACAACAGAGUUUCUGCGGGGCUCUGAGUAGUGUCUACAGACACAGGCAGCGUGUGCAGGGGUCUCUCACACACGGGGACCAGGACAAGAGGCCCAGGAGCCCAGAGGCCUCCCCGGGACACAGGGCUUGAGGCACUCACAGCCCUCCAAGGGGUGCUCCUCACUGUGUGCAGGGCACCCAGCUGCCCUGCCUCUGGCCACAGCGAGGUGUUGUCAGAGGACGCCGUUGCCAGUCCAGACGCGUGGAGACUGCGACCUGCGGUCUUAGGCUGCAUUUCCCAGGACACUUAGGACGCCGAGC